GUGGGGAAUCUUAGACAAUGGGCGCAAGCCUGAUCUAGCCAUGCCGCGUGAGCGAUGAAGGCCUUAGGGUUGUAAAGCUCUUUCAGUGGGGAAGAUAAUGACUGUACCCACAGAAGAAGCCCCGGCUAACUUCGUGCCAGCAGCCGCGGUAAUACGAAGGGGGCUAGCGUUGUUCGGAAUUACUGGGCGUAAAGCGCACGUAGGCGGACAUUUAAGUCAGGGGUGAAAUCCCGGGGCUCAACCCCGGAACUGCCUUUGAUACUGGGUGUCUGGAGUAUGGAAGAGGUAAGUGGAAUUCCGAGUGUAGAGGUGAAAUUCGUAGAUAUUCGGAGGAACACCAGUGGCGAAGGCGGCUUACUGGUCCAUUACUGACGCUGAGGUGCGAAAGCGUGGGGAGCAAACAGGAUUAGAUACCCUUGUAGUCC
rnacentral:rRNA from 1 species